rnacentral:rRNA from 1 species
CGAACGCUGGCGGCGUGCUUAAUACAUGCAAGUCGAGCGGACCGACGGGAGCUUGCUCCCUUAGGUCAGCGGCGGACGGGUGAGUAACACGUGGGUAACCUGCCUGUAAGACUGGGAUAAYUCCGGGAAACCGGGGYUAAUACCGGAUGCUUGAUUGARCCSCAUGGUUCAAUCAUAAAAGGUGGCUUUUAGCUACCACUURCAGAUGGACCCGCGGCGCAUUAGCUAGUUGGUGAGGUAACGGCUCACCAAGGCGACGAUGCGUAGCCGACCUGAGAGGGUGAUCGGCCACACUGGGACUGAGACACGGCCCAGACUCCUACGGGAGGCAGCAGUAGGGAAUCUUCCGCAAUGGACGAAAGUCUGACGGAGCAACGCCGCGUGAGUGAUGAAGGUUUUCGGAUCGUAAAACUCUGUUGUUAGGGAAGAACAAGUACCGUUCGAAUAGGGCGGYACCUUGACGGUACCUAACCAGAAAGCCACGGCUAACUACGUGCCAGCAGCCGCGGUAAUACGUAGGUGGCAAGCGUUGUCCGGAAUUAUUGGGCGUAAAGCGCGCGCAGGCGGUUUCUUAAGUCUGAUGUGAAAGCCCCCGGCUCAACCGGGGAGGGUCAUUGGAAACUGGGGAACUUGAGUGCAGAAGAGGAGAGUGGAAUUCCACGUGUAGCGGUGAAAUGCGUAGAGAUGUGGAGGAACACCAGUGGCGAAGGCGACUCUCUGGUCUGUAACUGACGCUGAGGCGCGAAAGCGUGGGGAGCGAACAGGAUUAGAUACCCUGGUAGUCCACGCCGUAAACGAUGAGUGCUAAGUGUUAGAGGGUUUCCGCCCUUUAGUGCUGCAGCAAACGCAUUAAGCACUCCGCCUGGGGAGUACGGUCGCAAGACUGAAACUCAAAGGAAUUGACGGGGGCCCGCACAAGCGGUGGAGCAUGUGGUUUAAUUCGAAGCAACGCGAAGAACCUUACCAGGUCUUGACAUCCUCUGACAACCCUAGAGAUAGGGCUUCCCCUUCGGGGGCAGAGUGACAGGUGGUGCAUGGUUGUCGUCAGCUCGUGUCGUGAGAUGUUGGGUUAAGUCCCGCAACGAGCGCAACCCUUGAUCUUAGUUGCCAGCAUUCAGUUGGGCACUCUAAGGUGACUGCCGGUGACAAACCGGAGGAAGGUGGGGAUGACGUCAAAUCAUCAUGCCCCUUAUGACCUGGGCUACACACGUGCUACAAUGGGCAGAACAAAGGGCAGCGAAGCCGCGAGGCUAAGCCAAUCCCACAAAUCUGUUSUCAGUUCGGAUCGCAGUCUGCAACUCGACUGCGUGAAGCUGGAAUCGCUAGUAAUCGCGG